ACGGGUGAGUAAUGCUUAGGAAUCUGCCUAUUAGUGGGGGACAACAUCUCGAAAGGGAUGCUAAUACCGCAUACGUCCUACGGGAGAAAGCAGGGGACCUUCGGGCCUUGCGCUAAUAGAUGAGCCUAAGUCGGAUUAGCUAGUUGGUGGGGUAAAGGCCUACCAAGGCGACGAUCUGUAGCGGGUCUGAGAGGAUGAUCCGCCACACUGGGACUGAGACACGGCCCAGACUCCUACGGGAGGCAGCAGUGGGGAAUAUUGGACAAUGGGGGGAACCCUGAUCCAGCCAUGCCGCGUGUGUGAAGAAGGCCUUUUGGUUGUAAAGCACUUUAAGCGAGGAGGAGGCUACCGAGAUUAAUACUCUUGGAUAGUGGACGUUACUCGCAGAAUAAGCACCGGCUAACUCUGUGCCAGCAGCCGCGGUAAUACAGAGGGUGCAAGCGUUAAUCGGAUUUACUGGGCGUAAAGCGCGCGUAGGUGGCCAAUUAAGUCAAAUGUGAAAUCCCCGAGCUUAACUUGGGAAUUGCAUUCGAUACUGGUUGGCUAGAGUAUGGGAGAGGAUGGUAGAAUUCCAGGUGUAGCGGUGAAAU
rnacentral:rRNA from 1 species